rnacentral:misc_RNA from 1 species
CCGAGUGCGGGCCCUCGCGGCCCAACCUCCCACCCUUGUCUCUAUACACCUGUUGCUUUGGCGGGCCCACCGGGGCCUCCUGGUCGCCGGGGGACGCACGUCUCCGGGCCCGCGCCCGCCGAAGCGCUCUGUGAACCCUGAUGAAGAUGGGCUGUCUGAGUACUGUGAAAAUUUGUCA